UACGUAGGGUGCAGGCGUUAAUCUGAAUUACUGGGCGUAAAGCGUGCGCAGGCGGUCUUUUAAGUCAGAUGUGAAAUCCCCGGGCUUAACCUGGGAACUGCGUUUGUAACUGAAAGGCUAGAGUGUGGCAGAGGGGGGUGGAAUUCCACGUGUAGCAGUGAAAUGCGUAGAGAUGUGGAGGAACACCGAUGGCGAAGGCAGCCCCCUGGGCUAACACUGACGCUCAUGCACGAAAGCGUGGGGAGCAAACAGG
rnacentral:rRNA from 1 species